rnacentral:rRNA from 1 species
GAUGAACGCUAGCUACAGGCUUAACACAUGCAAGUCGAGGGGAAACGACAUCGAAAGCUUGCUUUUGAUGGGCGUCGACCGGCGCACGGGGGAGUAACGCGUAUCCAACCUGCCCACCACUUGGGGAUAACCUUGCGAAAGUAAGACUAAUACCCAAUGAUAUCUCUAGAAGACAUCUGAAAGAGAUUAAAGAUUUAUCGGUGAUGGAUGGGGAUGCGUCUGAUUAGCUUGUUGGCGGGGUAACGGCCCACCAAGGCAACGAUCAGUAGGGGUUCUGAGAGGAAGGUCCCCCACAUUGGAACUGAGACACGGUCCAAACUCCUACGGGAGGCAGCAGUGAGGAAUAUUGGUCAAUGGACGAGAGUCUGAACCAGCCAAGUAGCGUGCAGGAAGACGGCCCUAUGGGUUGUAAACUGCUUUUAUAAGGGAAUAAAGUGAGUCUCGUGAGACUUUUUGCAUGUACCUUAUGAAUAAGGACCGGCUAAUUCCGUG